AGGGGAAUUGCUGGGUCAUAUGGUAAGUUUAUGUUUAACUUUAUAAGAAAUUGCCAAACUUUUUCAGAGUGGCUGUACCAUUUUGCAUUCCCACAAGCGGU
rnacentral:pre_miRNA from 2 species